UGCACUAGAAACCUGACCCAAAAUACUUGGGAAGAUUUAGUUUUUGCUGCAACAAUAUAAACAUU